rnacentral:rRNA from 4 species
AGACCCGAAACCCGGUGAUCUAGCCAUGGGCAGGUUGAAGGUUGGGUAACACUAACUGGAGGACCGAACCGACUAAUGUUGAAAAAUUAGCGGAUGACCUGUGGCUGGGGGUGAAAGGCCAAUCAAACCGGGAGAUAGCUGGUUCUCCCCGAAAGCUAUUUAGGUAGCGCCUCGUGAAUUCAUCUCCGGGGGUAGAGCACUGUUUCGGCUAGGGGGCCAUCCCGGCUUACCAACCCGAUGCAAACUGCGAAUACCGGAGAAUGUUAUCACGGGAGACACACGGCGGGUGCUAACGUCCGUCGUGAAGAGGGAAACAACCCAGACCGCCAGCUAAGGUCCCAAAGUCAUGGUUAAGUGGGAAACGAUGUGGGAAGGCCCAGACAGCCAGGAUGUUGGCUUAGAAGCAGCCAUCAUUUAAAGAAAGCGUAAUAGCUCACUGGUCGAGUCGGCCUGCGCGGAAGAUGUAACGGGGCUAAACCAUGCACCGAAGCUGCGGCAGCGAACGUAUCACCCAAGACAACUUUACGGAGUUGACGAUUGACGGAGCGAAGCGACGUCAAAGCGUUCAUUAAAGUCGAGUUGGCUUAGGGAUACGUUCGUUGGGUAGGGGAGCGUUCUGUAAGCCUGUGAAGGUGUGUCGUGAGGCAUGCUGGAGGUAUCAGAAGUGCGAAUGCUGACAUAAGUAACGAUAAAGCGGGUGAAAAGCCCGCUCGCCGGAAGACCAAGGGUUCCUGUCCAACGUUAAUCGGGGCAGGGUGAGUCGACCCCUAAGGCGAGGCCGAAAGGCGUAGUCGAUGGGAAACGGGUUAAUAUUCCCGUACUUGGUGUUACUGCGAAGGGGGGACGGAGAAGGCUAUGUUGGCCGGGCGACGGUUGUCCCGGUUUAAGCGUGUAGGUGUGUGUUCCAGGUAAAUCCGGUUCACUUUAACACUGAGGCGUGACGACGAGGCACUACGGUGCUGAAGCAACAAAUGCCCUGCUUCCAGGAAAAGCCUCUAAGCAUCAGGUAACAUCAAAUCGUACCCCAAACCGACACAGGUGGUCAGGUAGAGAAUACCAAGGCGCUUGAGAGAACUCGGGUGAAGGAACUAGGCAAAAUGGUGCCGUAACUUCGGGAGAAGGCACGCUGACACGUAGGUGAAGUGAUUUACUCAUGGAGCUGAAGUCAGUCGAAGAUACCAGCUGGCUGCAACUGUUUAUUAAAAACACAGCACUGUGCAAACACGAAAGUGGACGUAUACGGUGUGACGCCUGCCCGGUGCCGGAAGGUUAAUUGAUGGGGUCAGCGCAAGCGAAGCUCCUGAUCGAAGCCCCGGUAAACGGCGGCCGUAACUAUAACGGUCCUAAGGUAGCGAAAUUCCUUGUCGGGUAAGUUCCGACCUGCACGAAUGGCGUAAUGAUGGCCAGGCUGUCUCCACCCGAGACUCAGUGAAAUUGAACUCGCUGUGAAGAUGCAGUGUACCCGCGGCAAGACGGAAAGACCCCGUGAACCUUUACUAUAGCUUGACACUGAACAUUGAGCCUUGAUGUGUAGGAUAGGUGGGAGGCUUUGAAGUGUGGACGCCAGUCUGCAUGGAGCCGACCUUGAAAUACCACCCUUUAAUGUUUGAUGUUCUAACGUGGACCCGUAAUCCGGGUUGCGGACAGUGUCUGGUGGGUAGUUUGACUGGGGCGGUCUCCUCCUAAAGAGUAACGGAGGAGCACGAAGGUUGGCUAAUCCUGGUCGGACAUCAGGAGGUUAGUGCAAUGGCAUAAGCCAGCUUGACUGCGAGCGUGACGGCGCGAGCAGGUGCGAAAGCAGGUCAUAGUGAUCCGGUGGUUCUGAAUGGAAGGGCCAUCGCUCAACGGAUAAAAGGUACUCCGGGGAUAACAGGCUGAUACCGCCCAAGAGUUCAUAUCGACGGCGGUGUUUGGCACCUCGAUGUCGGCUCAUCACAUCCUGGGGCUGAAGUAGGUCCCAAGGGUAUGGCUGUUCGCCAUUUAAAGUGGUACGCGAGCUGGGUUUAGAACGUCGUGAGACAGUUCGGUCCCUAUCUGCCGUGGGCGCUGGAGAACUGAGGGGGGCUGCUCCUAGUACGAGAGGACCGGAGUGGACGCAUCACUGGUGUUCGGGUUGUCAUGCCAAUGGCACUGCCCGGUAGCUAAAUGCGGAAGAGAUAAGUGCUGAAAGCAUCUAAGCACGAAACUUGCCCCGAGAUGAGUUCUCCCUGAGACUUAG